CCUGGCUCAGGACGAACGCUGGCGGCGUGCUUAACACAUGCAAGUCGAACGAUGAUGCCCAGCUUGCUGGGUGGAUUAGUGGCGAACGGGUGAGUAACACGUGAGUGAUCUGCCCUGCACUUCGGGAUAAGCCUGGGAAACUGGGUCUAAUACCGGAUAGGACCCUCCUUUAGUGUGGGGGGUGGAAAGAUUUAUCGGUGCAGGAUGAGCCCGCGGCCUAUCAGCUUGUUGGUGGGGUAAUGGCCUACCAAGGCGUCGACGGGUAGCCGGCCUGAGAGGGUGGACGGCCACAUUGGGACUGAGAUACGGCCCAGACUCCUACGGGAGGCAGCAGUGGGGAAUAUUGCACAAUGGGCGCAAGCCUGAUGCAGCGACGCCGCGUGGGGGAUGACGGCCUUCGGGUUGUAAACCUCUUUCGACAGGGACGAAGUGAAAAUGACGGUACCUGUAUAAGGAGCACCGGCUAACUACGUGCCAGCAGCCGCGGUAAUACGGAGGGUGCAAGCGUUAAUCGGAAUUACUGGGCGUAAAG
rnacentral:rRNA from 1 species